AAAAUUAUGUGGUACGGGAUACUGUUUCUGCAGAAGAAAAACUCGUGAUUACUUUGAGAUAUUUGGCUACAGGAUGUUAUUUUGCGGACCUGCAUUAUGCCUACAGAUUAGGAAAGUCUACAGUUAUCGAAAUAGUACAGAAAACCUGUUACGUCAUAUGGAACAAACUGCAAAAUAUAGUAAUGAGAGAACCAACGAAA